rnacentral:rRNA from 1 species
GUGGGGAAUAUUGGACAAUGGGGGCAACCCUGAUCCAGCCAUGCCGCGUGAGUGAUGAAGGCCCUAGGGUUGUAAAGCUCUUUUGUGCGGGAAGAUAAUGACGGUACCGCAAGAAUAAGCCCCGGCUAACUUCGUGCCAGCAGCCGCGGUAAUACGAAGGGGGCUAGCGUUGCUCGGAAUCACUGGGCGUAAAGGGUGCGUAGGCGGGUCUUUAAGUCAGAGGUGAAAUCCUGGAGCUCAACUCCAGAACUGCCUUUGAUACUGAGGAUCUUGAGUUCGGGAGAGGUGAGUGGAACUGCGAGUGUAGAGGUGAAAUUCGUAGAUAUUCGCAAGAACACCAGUGGCGAAGGCGGCUCACUGGCCCGAUACUGACGCUGAGGCACGAAAGCGUGGGGAGCAAACAGGAUUAGAAACCCCAGUAGUCC